rnacentral:tRNA from 1 species
AGGGGUGUAGCUCAAUGGCAGAGCCACUAGUGGAUGCCGGUUCGAGUCCGGCCGCCCCAC